GACGAACGCUGGCGGCGUGCUUAACACAUGCAAGUCGAACGAAGAGCGAUGGAAGCUUGCUUCUCUCAAUCUUAGUGGCGAACGGGUGAGUAACGCGUAAUCGACCUGCCCUUCAGAGGGGGACAACAGUUGGAAACGACUGCUAAUACCGCAUACGAUCUAAUCUCGGCAUCGAGGAUAGAUGAAAGGUGGCCUCUACAUGUAAGCUAUCACUGAAGGAGGGGAUUGCGUCUGAUUAGCUAGUUGGAGGGGUAACGGCCCACCAAGGCGAUGAUCAGUAGCCGGUCUGAGAGGAUGAACGGCCACAUUGGGACUGAGACACGGCCCAGACUCCUACGGGAGGCAGCAGUGGGGAAUCUUCCGCAAUGGACGAAAGUCUGACGGAGCAACGCCGCGUGAGCGAUGACGGCCUUCGGGUUGUAAAGCUCUGUUAAUCGGGACGAAAGGCCUCCUUGCGAAUAGUGAGAAGGAUUGACGGUACCGGAAUAGAAAGCCACGGCUAACUACGU
rnacentral:rRNA from 1 species